GAUGAACGCUGGCGGCGUGCCUAAUACAUGCAAGUCGAACGAAACUUCUUUAUCACCGAGUGCUUGCACUCACCGAUAAAGAGUUGAGUGGCGAACGGGUGAGUAACACGUGGGCAACCUGCCCAAAAGAGGGGGAUAACACUUGGAAACAGGUGCUAAUACCGCAUAACCAUAGUUACCGCAUGGUAACUAUGUAAAAGGUGGCUAUACUACCGCUUUUGGAUGGGCCCGCGGCGCAUUAGCUAGUUGGUAGGGUAAAGGCUUACCAAGGCAAUGAUGCGUAGCCGAAUUGAGAGGGUGAUCGGCCACAUUGGGACUGAGACACGGCCCAAACUCCUACGGGAGGCAGCAGUAGGGAAUCUUCCACAAUGGGCGAAAGCCUGAUGGAGCAACGCAGCGUGGGUGAAGAAGGUCUUCGGAUCGUAAAACCCUGUUGUUAGAGAAGAAAGUGCGUGAGAGUAACUGUUCACGUUUCGACGGUACCUAAACAGAAAGCCACGGCUAACUACGUG
rnacentral:rRNA from 1 species